AAAACAUCUUUUCUUGUUAGUUUUUGAAGUAUGGCCUGCCCGCUGACAUUGAGUGUUGAAGGGCCGCGGUAUUUUGACCGUGCAAAGGUAGCAUAAUCAUUAGUUCUUUAAUUGUGAUCUGGAAUGAAUGGCUUGACGAGGCACGGGCUGUCUUAGUGUUGAAUGUUUUAUUGAAUUUGGUCUUUGAGUUAAAAUUCUUAAAUGUUUUUGUGGGACGAGAAGACCCUAUAGAGUUUGACAUUUGGUUUAUUUCCUGUUUGGUUGUUUGUUUGUUUUGUUGGUGAGUGGGCUUUUUGUUUUGUUGGGGUGAUGAGAGGAAUGUGUUUAACUCCUCUUGGUUUUGGUUAUAUUGAUUUAUAGUUGUUUGAUCCAUUUAUUUUGAUUAUAAGACUAAAUUACCUUAGGGAUAACAGCGUUAUCUUCCUUGAGAGUUCUUAUCGGCAGGGAGGUUUGCGACCUCGAUGUUGGAUUAAGGUGAAUUUUUGGUGUAGGGGCUGAAAGUUGUUAUUGGGUCUGUUCGACC
rnacentral:rRNA from 1 species